rnacentral:rRNA from 1 species
UCCUACGGGGGGCAGCAGUGGGGGAUAUUGCACAAUGGGGGGAACCCUGAUGCAGCGACGCCGCGUGAGCGAAGAAGUACCUCGGUAUGUAAAGCUCUAUCAGCAGGGAGGAAAAUGACGGUACCUGACUAAGAAGCCCCGGCUAAAUACGUGCCAGCAGCCGCGGUAAUACGUAUGGGGCAAGCGUUAUCCGGAUUUACUGGGUGUAAAGGGAGCGCAGGCGGCCUGCCAAGUCUGGUGUGAAAACCCGGGGCCCAACCCCGGGCCUGCAUUGGAAACUGGCGGGC